rnacentral:rRNA from 1 species
CCUACGGGUGGCUGCAACUGGGAAUCGUUCGCAAUGGGGGAAACCCUGACGACGCGACGCCGCGUGGAGGAUGAAGGUUUUCGGAUCGUAAACUCCUUUUACCCCGACACAUGUCGAGGGGAAUAAGCACCCACUAACUACGUGCCAGCAGUUGCGGUAAGACGUAGGGUGCAAGCGUUAUCCGGAUUUAUUGGGCGUAAAGCGUUUCGUAGGCUGUUUUUUAAGUCAUGUCUUAAAGACUAGGGCUCAACCCUAGAAAUGGGCGUGAUACUGGGAAACUUUAGAGGGUUUUGGGGGGUAUUGGCAAUCGCGGUGAAGCAGAGAAAUGAGUUGAUAUCGCGAGGAACACCAAGGGCGAAGGCAAAUACAUAAAAAACUCCUGACGCUGAGGAACGAAAGCUAGUGGAGCGAAAGGGAUUAGGUACCCGUGUAGUC